GGAUUGUGGCUUAGCGGUAGAGCGUUCCCCUAGCACGGCGAGACCCGGGUUCAAUCCUCAGCACCA
rnacentral:tRNA from 1 species